AUGCAGAGGGCAAUCGCAAAGGAGUUGAACCUUCGCCACGUAAUGCCCAUAUUUGAUAGGCAGGAUGAAGAAGAUGAUUUCGUAGGGGUAGAUGUCAGCUCUAGAAAAGAGAUUGUAGUUACCUUGGAGUCCCUUUGGUAUGGAGAUCCAGAUUACAGCACAAAAAUCCAUCAUAUAUUGCACGAAGUUGCUAUUAGAGUGAUUGGUGACACCGGUAUGGAUGGCAUCAACCCAGAAACAGUUUUGGAUUGCUUCUUGUACUCAUUGUUCCUGACAGCACAGUUACCUCAAAACUCUACUGGUGUUGGCUAUGGUUGGGCUACUCAUGCUUGCAAUUAUUGGAUUUGUGAUGGAAUGCGUGGAGAGGACAAGGCUUGGGAGAUUGGCUAUAUGUUGUAUGGAGUGAUACCAUUGGACGAAUGUUCUUCAUCUGAAACGGCACAAAGAAGAUAUUUGGCACACUUUCUGCCUAGGCUGGGUAAAGGCUGGUAUUCAGUCACCUCCAAUAAUGGAGGAACAAAUCAUAUAUCUAAUGUUCCUGCUGAUGCAUCAUCAUAUUUCCUAACAUUCCACGGUAAUGAUCCAGUAUAUGUAUGUAAUGAUCUGUUUCAGCUAGCCAGCAACAACCUUCGUGUGCUAAAACUCUGCAAGUGCAGCUUCGAUUUUGCAUCCCCUCCUUUCCAGUGCUGCAGCAACCUAAGAUUCCUUUGGCUUGAACAUUGUGCAAACACAUGGAAGGAGCAAAGUGGGGCGCCAAUUUUUCCGAACCUGCUGGUGUUUGACUUACGUUUCACAGAUUAUGUUUUGCUGCCUCAGAUGUUUUGCUGCUAUUUGGAAAAAGUUGAAGAAGCUUCAGAAGCUCCGAUUAACAGAAUCUUCAGAUGUGGUCGCGGUGGACAGAUGCUCUUCUGUAGAUAUGAUGAACCUGGAGCUCCUUGA
rnacentral:rRNA from 1 species